UCCGUACCCGCCCCGUUAUAUGAAACCUUUUUGUUCCCAAUUAUAGCGAACAGAAUCCCCAAAUUCUCUCAAUUCGUCCGCAUAAGCAGAUCGCUCUUCUUUAUCCCUCCUAUCUUCUCCUGUCUAAUCGAGAAACUGAGUCUACAAUUCAACUCCCCGCUUCCAACUCAGCCAUGUCGGUCCGCUUCAAAUUCAGAAGCUCGCCUUACUACGACUCGGUCGACAUUGGGGACCGGCCUUCAAUUUCAGUUUGUGAUCUCAAAUCCAGAAUCGUCCAAAACAAGAAACUGAAUCUUUGUCAAGAUUUCGAUCUCCUCUUCUCUGAUCCUAUCUCCGGUCAAGAAUACGUGGAUGACGAUUUUCAAAUUCCUCGUGGUUCGAGUGUGAUCAUAAAAAGAGUUCCUGCGGGGGAACGUGCUGGCUCACUUGAAAAUUUUCCAACCAGAGACGCCAAUAUUAGCAAAACCUCUCAUCCAGAGAAUGUGGAAACUGUCAACUUUGAUGACUUUGGGGCAGAAUUAUGCCCUGUAUCUGAUGCAAACUUAUCUGGCAUUGGUCUUGAUAUUGAGCACAAAUUUUGUGUUGGUGAUGAGGAGAUAAAUAUCAAAUUAAAAAGGUGCACUGAGCAACCUGUGGUAGAAUGUCAUAAAUUUGAAGUGAGUGACAUUAGUGAGGCCAUCCCACAAGGUCACAAAGAGUCAGAGACAAAAUCUAAACCUGACAUUGAACUGAAUACUAAACAGUCUGACCUUCGAGCAAUGCAAACUGCUGAUUUUCCGUCAGAGCUGAAAUGCUCUCUUUGCGACACAUUCUUUAAGGAGGCUGUUAUGAUACCCUGCUGCCAGCACAGUUUCUGCAUGAAAUGCAUCUGUCAUGUGCUGGUUGAAAAGGCAAGGUGUCCCAAAUGCUUUUCUACCAAAUGCAAAGUGGAAGAUUUGUUACCCAAUGUGUCACUGAGGCUAGCAAUUGAGCGUUUCCUGAAGUCCCAAAUUCUAGUUAAUGGUUCGGAAAAUGCUUUACAUCGAGAUGCUCCAGAUGGAGAAUCAGGAAUUCAAGAGAACGAUGUUUCUCGCGUUGUCUCUGUCCUUCAAAGAGGAGCAGAGUUGCCUCCUUCUCCCUCUGCAACAGGGAGGGGAUCCAAUCAAUAUCCUACAGAAUCGCGACUCCCUGUUGGCCUGGAAGGUUUUGCUGAUUUCCAGGGGGAAAACCAGCCCAUUAACGAGGAAGCUGAAUCCAAUGUCAAGAGGAAGAAGGUGUUGGGGGUUACGACUGCAGAUGCAGAGAAGGGUUAUGUGGAGACUGGAAGACUCAAAAAGGGGGAUUGUGUCUGCUACAUGUGUGGUUCUCCUGGUCAUUUGAGGAGAGAUUGCCCAGCUGUCUCCAGUCCACAUCCUAUGCUUCAAAGAGGCAAUGGUAUGUUUCCAGGAGCAAUGCCUGGUUAUGUAUCACCAUACUGGAAUGGACCUCCGUUUCCCAAUAUCAGGCCAUUUGCAAACCCAUAUGGCAACUCUGGUAUGAUGCCCUUCAAUGGAACAGUGGUUCGUGCUUCACCUUUUCAUGUUCCUACAUAUGUGCCAUCUAUGUUUGGUGGGUUACCUGCCUUUCGGGGAUUUACAAGGAUGGGAGGCGUAGCACCUGCAGUGAAAAAUAAUGUAGACCACCAACUAUUUCAUUUCGAGUUGGAUGUUAAAGAUUAUGAUAAGGGACCCCAGUUUACAAGUGAGAAUGUCAUGAGAAAACACUUUUAUGAUGAGGAUGAUGUUAAAGGACAUCAGUGUGAUGAGGCAAAAAGACCGCGUGAUAAAAACUUUUAUCCUGAGAGGGAAAGGAGUGCAAGCUACUCUGAAGACAGCUUUACAAAAAAGUCACUUAUGAAACGUAGGCAUCCACAUACCAUUGAUGAUGAUGUUUAUUCUGAUGAUGAAAGACAUGAGAAAAGUUCUAACAUUGCUGGUCAAAAUCGGAGGCCUUAUCAUCACUCGGAGAGGUCAAGGUCAGAAGUAGAUGAUUUGCCCGGUAGCUCCAGCUGGCAUAGUGAGGAGAGGCAUAAACAUGGUCAUAGGAGCUCCAAAAAGCACAAUGACUGCAGAGAGCACUGUGACAGUGAUUCUAGUUGGAGCCAUUAUCCAACUAAUAAAGAGAAAGAAGCUAAAAGGACAGUUAAGCAUGAUGCUGAGAGACAGCACCAGAAACAUUGCAGUAACUCUGAAUCUAGUUUGGAACCAAACCAUUCCACUGACCAGAAAAAGAAAAGAAGGGAGAAAGGUUCUAGCCGAAGUUGCAGGCAUUCUGGGUACAAAACAAAAACAACACGAUGUGACAAUUUGAGUCAUGAUAGGUGGCAGAUGGCCAGGAGGUCAGAUGAAGACAAUUGAGAGGACUAUCACCAUUAUAAAAGGAAAAGGGUAUACUAAACAAGCAACAGAUCUGAUUUUUGAGAUCUAGUUGAGUGGUCGGCUUUUGGACAGUAGCUUCAUGGAUUAUUUUUUAAAUAUCUUCUACUAACCAUGUUUGCAUUUCUAGCUUGUGCUGUGGAGGCAAGCAAUAGGAAAGAGGAGCAUUGCGUAAGUUAAAUUUUAGGUUCGGAUACUUUAAUGCUUUGCCCAAACUUCUUUCAGAAAUUGAUGAAGCUGAUGAAGGUAUGUUUCUUUUCCAAGAAAAAAAGAAAAUGUUAAAAUGAGGGGGAAAAAAAGACACGAGACCCCUGAUGGCCGGUUAAUAUUUCUUCAAUAAGUUGCAUCUGUGCGCUAUGCACUCUAUAGAGCAACUUCGUGAAUGCUAUAAUCCGGCUGCCAGGGAGCUGAUUGAGUUUUUCUAUUUUUGGCACGAAUGAGUGGGCCGCGUAAUCCGUUUUAGGUGUCCAUGGGCCCAUGUGAUUUCUUUGUCAGAUUUAAUGCACGUAGUCGAAUUUUUUCUUGAAAAGAAAAAGGGAUUUGGGCGCGAUGACUAAAAUAUUGGUUUUUUUCGCGUUCAGGUUCUGAUUUUUUGCAAGCUUUACUCCAUAAAUUAUUUUCAUAUUUUUCUAUAAAAGCAGAAGUGAAAUACGAAGUAAUAUAUUUGAUUU